rnacentral:misc_RNA from 1 species
AAGGAUCAUUAAAAGAACUUGUGUAUACCUUUGGUAUUUCGCAAUUCAAACCCACUCUGUGUAUCUUACCGUGUUGCUUCCAUGAGGCGUGAUUUGCUCGCGCCGCCUUGGCUUUCGGGUCUCGGUGGAGAGUCCUCAUGGGAGGUUAUCUGUAAACCAUUUGCAAUUCUUGCCUUCAGUCUGACUGUUUAAAUAAACAUUUAAAACUUUCAACAACGGAUCUCUUGGUUCUC